rnacentral:lncRNA from 1 species
GCACUACCACAUAUGCGACAGGUGUUGUUGAGGCAGUAGCAUGGUCGAUCCUCGUGAUCCCUGGCACAGUGCUGGCAGAUCUUUCCACGUGCUGCCCUUAGAGCCUGAGGAGGGGCCUGGAUCACUGGUCUAGGCCUCUUAUUUGGUUGGACCGGCGCAGUAGGUGCUGGUCUGCGGGGUGGAGCUGAGGAUCGGUGACUCCCUGCUGACUGAGGACGGGUGUUGAAACUCCUCUCCACAAUCUGCGCCUUUGCUAGAACGACUGAGUAUGUCUUGAGCUCCAGUACCAAUAAGUGUUGUUUGAUCUCUGGG